rnacentral:rRNA from 1 species
CCGGAUGCAGGCAGCUCGGAGGAGGCCGCCGCCGCCGCCCGGCGCGGAGAAGAGCAUGACGCUAGCGACGUGGAGCGGGGUGACCUGUUCGUGACCCCGCUGCUUCGCCAGGCAUGCCGCCUGCCUCACCGCGCCCGCUGCUUCCGCUCCCAGCGCCUGCUGCACGACCGCGUAACCGCCGCUCCACAUAUUCACGCGCUCUUGGAAGGUAAUGAGUUACCGCCGUCGUCUAGGGCUAGCUGGGCUGGCAGCUCAUCUUCAGCUGAUGAACGGUCCUUCUCCUUCAAAACAACUAUACCCGUCGCUCGCUCCCGUUCCCCUCUCUCGUCGACGGUGGCGGCUGCCCAGAUCGGCAGAUCUGUUGCUUCCCUGGUCGACGACGGCUACUCCCACGCCACCUGUUCCCUGCCUCCUCCCUUCUUACUCCGGUAUCCAAGUCGCUUGGAUCCGUCCCUAGGGCAGCCCAACAUCGCGCUGCGCAUUGUCGUCAGGGAUCUGGUCACCGCCGCCAUGGCCUCCUCCUCCCUGGUGGCCGCGGGCGCCCUGGACGGUCAACUCACAUUCCUAUAUCUGUAG